GGUUGUUUUGCCAAAGGCAUUGCCCGGUAGCUACGUUCGGAACUGAUAACCGCUGAAAGCAUCUAAGCGGGAAGCAGGCUUUGAGAUGAGUUCUCACUGGAGCUUUAAGCUCCCUAAAGGGUCGUUGGAGACUACAACGUUGAUAGGUCAGGUGUGUAAGGGUUGUGAGGCCUUGAGCUAACUGAUACUAAUUACCCGUGAGGC
rnacentral:rRNA from 1 species